UUGGACCUAGCACUGAAAGACUCCGA
rnacentral:misc_RNA from 1 species